AGAGCUUGAAAGCACGAUUGAGGUGACUGCUUUUAACUAUAUUUUUUCCAGCAUAUAACACAGCCUGCUUUGCAUUUUUGGUCUCACGGCACCGUUUUUGAGAUACGAAUCUUAAAAGCAGGGCAUUUCUGCUGUGCCUGCUGCGACCUGCUUUAUCACUCUCCUAUUUCAGCAUCAAGAAAAUGAUGCUGUCAUUCCAGCUAGGAGGUAUUUUGAUUGUUCCAGACAGAAAGCUGGCUGAUCACAUUAAGAGUGAGAGAAAGAGAGAGAGAGGAGGAGAGAGAGUGUGUGUGUACUUUUACGGUGUAUAUGUGUCUCCUUUCUGGGGCUGAGAAGGAAAUGACCUCAUCUCAGCAACGGAUAAACACAUUUUGGUGGUAACUGAUUCCCAAGUUGAGACCUUCUAUGAGGUCUUUGAGCACUGUAGCCGUUUGCUAACAGACAAGGAGGAUUCCUCACUAAAGUUAUCAUUAGCAGAGUCCUCUGCCACUGGCUUCUAAAUAGAAGCAUAAACGUAGGGUAGUAAAAUAGAGACAAGGAAUAAAAUAAGAGAGUUGAAAUAAACAAUCUCUAAGGGCCCCUUUGAUUUAAAGAAAAUUCCAAGUUGGAUAUUGGCAGACCUAGAAAUGACGAUAAAUGCCCAAAAAGGGAGAGUAUAAAUUUAGAAAGGUGGAAAUCUUCUCAACUGAUAAAUGAAUUUGUGUGUGUGUGUGUGUGUGUGUGUGUGUGUGCCUGCACACGCAUAUGCAAGCUUUCUUCAACUUACAGGUGAAUUUUUUUUUUUUAAUUUCAGAAUGAUGGCUUAGUUGAUGGCAGAGUGGAAAGGACUAACAGGCCAGCCAGAAGCCCCAGAGCAAGGCAGACGUUCCCAGAAGGACUUGGCAGAAAGAGUCAGACUGAGAAGCUGGCUGGCCGGUAAUGCCAGGAAGGGGAAGAGAUGUGAGUGGAGCACAACCACAUAGAGGAGAGGUCUGGGCAGCCUGAAACCCAAGCUAGCUGCUGUGGAUGGUGGGCUCAUGGGAACAGAUUCCUGCAGAGUGCAGUUGAGAGGAGGGAUUUGGGAGGACAGACAGGAGCAGGAACUCAGCACCCAAUCUGGAACAGAUGGAUAGAACAAGCGUCCCUGAAAAGGGACCCAGAUUCAGGCUGCUAGGGACUUGAUCUCUAGGCAACAGACUAGGAUGAAGGAAAAGGUUUGUGUAGGCCCCACAGCAAGGCUGAUUUGAUGCUCUCCUCUAGAGAAGCCAGCUUGGGGCUCCUUAAACUCCCCCAGAUCCUAGAGAUACUCUAGGGUCUCAGCUGGGCUAAUUGGCAAAUCAUAGAAUUAGGUGUGCGGUUUCAAUAAGUUUAAGAUGUGGUUACUGUCUUCAGGGGUUUAUAAUCUAUUUGGGAAGAAAAGGUCAUCACAUAUGAGACAGAGAAAAGGAUGUCUGGGUGUUUAUUAAAUGUGUUACAUACCAAGUUGCAGGUGUUACAAUAAAAGGAAAAAUUAGUAUGACCAGAAAGGUCAAGGAAGGUUUCAUAGAGACUGGUGCGCCUUAGGGGAUGGUUUGAAGUUUUUAAGCAAAGAGGAACAGAUUCCAGGCAUUGGGAAUAGGAGAUGUUCAUGGAGGUGGAGAGAGGAGAGUAAGAAAUAUCACGAGAUACCUUCUGCAUCCUAUUCUGACAGAUGUGCUUUAGGAGCAAGGAGAAUGGGUCAAAUUGCAGAAAGCUACCUGGGGAAACACACACAUCAGUUUUAUCUGUGCAACAGCGCUGAAAGACCAUGGCUGGUGGAGACAAUAAUAGUUGUCAUGAUGACUGGGGAAAUUUUCUUCAACAGACUGGAGAGAAACAAUGUGAUGUCAUUAUUAAGAUCAGUGGGCACUGGAAUUAGAAAAUCAGGAAUUUGAAUCUUGGCUCCACCAUUUUUUGCCUGUGUGACUUUGGGCAAGUUACUUAACCUCUCAGUCCUUUAGUUUCCUCACUAUUCAGUCAGUCACUCAGUCACUCAGUCAUGGCCAAUUCUUUGCAACCCCAUGGACUGCAGCGUGCCAGGCCUCCCUGUCCAUCACCAACUCCCAGAGCUUGUUCAAACUCAUGUCCAUGGAGUCG